AAUGAACGCUGGCGGCAUGCCUAACACACGCAAGUCGAACGACGGCUUCGGCCUGAGUGGCGCACGGGUGCGUAACGCGUGGGAAUCUGCCCUCAGGUUCGGAAUAACAGCGAGAAAUUGCUGCUAAUACCGGAUGAUACCGCGAGAUCAAAGAUUUAUCGCCUGAGGAUGAGCCCGCGAGGGAUUAGCUAGUUGGUGUGGGAACUGCGCACCAAGGCGACGAUCCUUAGCUGGUCUGAGAGGAUGAUCAGCAACACUGGGACGGAGACACGGCCCAGACUCCUGCGGGAGGCAGCAGUGGGGAAUAUUGGACGAUGGGCGAAAGCCUGAUCCAGCAAUGCCGCGUGAGUGAUGAAGGCCUUAGGGUUGUAAAGCUCUUUUACCCGGGAUGAUAAUGACAGUACCGGGAGAAUAAGCUCCGGCUAACUCCGUGCCAGCAGCCGCGGUAA
rnacentral:rRNA from 1 species